AUUGCUCCAGGAUUCUUGACUUUGCUAAACGAUUCAUGCACUGACUCUGCAGCCUCUGCCACUUGUGUUCCUUUAUGAAGUUCAUUCUGACAUCUAGUUAAGAAUUCAAGGAAGCACAGACGGAUUGAUCAAUUCCAUUCAUGGGCCAUCUGUGGGCACCAGGUUGAAACUACUUUCUAAAGACUUCAGAGAUCUGGAUGUUAGAUCUUACCGACGUCAGCUGGAAAAGUUGCUUGACAAGGACAUAAAAACAGACAAGAAGCAUUUUCUGCGAACAUGGAAUAGAAUCAUUUCCAAGCUAGCAUAGGUAAUAAAUGUUUCCAAAUGACGGAACA
rnacentral:lncRNA from 1 species